AUUGAACGCUGGCGGCAGGCCUAACACAUGCAAGUCGAGCGAGCGGCGGACGGGGGAGUAAUGUAUGGGGACUGCCCGAUAGAGGGGGAUAACUCCUGGAAACGGUAGCUAAUACCGCAUACUAUCGGAUAACCCAUAUGGGAUUAGCUAGUUGGUGAGGUAAAGGCUCACCAAGGCGACGAUCCCUAGCUGGUCUGAGAGGAUGAUCAGCCACACUGGAACUGAGACACGGCCCAGACUCCUACGGAGGCAGCAGUGGGGAAUAUUGCACAAUGGGCGCAAGCCUGAUGCAGCCAUGCCGCGUGUAUGAAGAAGGCCGUAGGGUUGUAAAGUACUUUCAGUCGGGAGGCGUUACCGGCAGAAGAAGCACCGGCUAACUCCGUGCCAGCAGCCGCGGUAAUAC
rnacentral:rRNA from 1 species